rnacentral:rRNA from 1 species
GACGAACGCUGGCGGCGUGCUUAACACAUGCAAGUCGAACGGAAAGGCCCUGCUUUUGUGGGGUGCUCGAGUGGCGAACGGGUGAGUAACACGUGAGUAACCUGCCCUUGACUUUGGGAUAACUUCAGGAAACUGGGGCUAAUACCGGAUAGGAGCUCCUGCUGCAUGGUGGGGGUUGGAAAGUUUCGGCGGUUGGGGAUGGACUCGCGGCUUAUCAGCUUGUUGGUGGGGUAGUGGCUUACCAAGGCUUUGACGGGUAGCCGGCCUGAGAGGGUGACCGGCCACAUUGGGACUGAGAUACGGCCCAGACUGCUACUGGAGGCAGCAGUGGGGAAUAUUGCACAAUGGGCGGAAGCCUGAUGCAGAAACGCCGCGUGCGGGAUGACGGCCUUCUGGUUGUAAACCGCUUUCGCCUGUGACGAAGCGUGAGUGACGGUAAUGGGUAAAGAAGCACCGGCUAACUACGUG